CACCUUUCUCUUUCUCUUUUUCUUUUACCUUUCUUUUUCUCUUUCUCUUUCUUAGCAUCCCUGCUUGGAAGUGGAUCUGGGCGCUUCAUCCUUCUUCUUCGCUAUAGCUGCAGCAACAAACCAGCUCUCUUGGUCUCCGAUUAACACACCUACACCUAGAGCAACCAUUACACAGCCUCUUUGAUUAGGAAUUUACCUUGGUAGAACGACUUGAUAAGUGGAGGGUGCUGUAAGACUUGAAAUAGGAUUUUGCUGUUCUGCUACGUACUGUUAUCUACUUCAGGUUCAUAUGUGGCUAGUGGCUUAGUGGCAUAGAGGCAUGGUUGAUAUGGAGACUUGGGUGAGCUACAAUUAUCGAGAUGACCCGCAACCAGCAGAGUCUCCUUCACAUUAUUGUACUGUAUUUUCAUUUUUGUCCACUUGUAUUUCGGACAAUUACUGUGGUUUAUGUCAUUUCCUAGUAAAUGCUCAUGCACUUGUGACACCGGAUUCUGGGAUGAUUAUGGGUUAUCUUGUAUUAACUACUUAACAUUCAUAUUCAAUUUGAAAUGAUUAUCUUUUACUAGUAAAA